CUGUGGAUUGGAGGAAGGAAUUCCCACCUCCACAUCACAUUGGUGAAGGGGACUGUCACACAGUCUUGUUUGUCCCAGCAGAGAAUGUAAAAACAAUGGCUAUGUUUAUAGAACAUAGCUGAUGUUUACAUUAAAAGAGCGUGAGAAGGUACGAACUUCUCCUUUAAUAUGAAAGCUCAGAAAAACCGGGAAAAACUCAUGGCAACAUCAAUUACAUUUGUAUGGAGUUGUGUAACCAACAGAAAAUAGCCAGUGCGACCCUAUGAUACAAAAGUGGAACUAAAGCCAAAUUCCAAACUCUGCUACUCAGUCAGCAAAAAAAUCAUGAUACAGAAGUUACCCACACAGGAUCCACAAUUAUAAAAGAUGGCAAAAAUCUUACUCAUGUGAGUGUGGGCAAAACGGAUCAUAAACUACAGUGAUUUCAGGAGAAGACUGAUUUUAUAAGGCAGACUUAACCAAACCAAUAACACUCCACUUUUUAAUAUCAACAUAAUUCUGAUGGAGGCUUUCCCAUCACUCUUUAAUACCACGAAGAUUUUUUACCAUAAGAAUAAUCUUACGAUUUUUCCUGAUCUGCCUUAUGAAUUUGAUUCUUGAGUUCUAGGAAUGUAUAUUAGGUUUUCAGGAUCAUAUCAAAUAAGGAGCCUUUUCAUGCACAUAACACUAGAUCACAUAAUUAUGGAAUAAGUUUUCAGAGAUGAGAAACUGCAGAUAUUUUUUCUGUAUGCUAGUGAACAAUUUUGUGGAUUCAGCUGUGGGUUUGAGUUUUUUGCGGGGGAAGGCAUAGGAGAGUUUUUUUGUUUGGUUGUUUUUUUUGUUGUUGUUGUUUCCCUGGAAGAGAAAGAAAAGUUUGACAAGAGCACCAGGGUUCUGGUCCUUUUCCAAGUAAGUUUGACAAGUCUUUUUUAACAGAUGUCAGCCUUGCCCUCAGUCUGUUGAAAUUUUCUGUCAAAUCUUAUCAUUAAUUUUAAUGACAAUGGUAAAAAGUCCUUGAGAAGAGAUAUUUUACCCCUGUGUUCAUGCAAUUCAGUGACACUAAAAGGGCAAAAGUCAACACAAUGCUCACAAGCUUGCCUGGGAGCCCCAGCAUGCAGGUUUGCUAUUUAUUGCUCCAUUCUCUUCUAGGAUUUUUUUUUUCACUUUUGCUAUUAUGAUUGAAUAAUUCUUAUCCCCUUAUUCCUAUUUCACUAGCUUUUGGGCAACAUGGCUGAGAAGAAAAAUAUUAUCCCAGAGAUUAUCUGAAGCCAUAAACUGGGGAGAGUUCAAACUCCCAGAAUAUCCCACUUGCUUCACUGAAGGUGUUUCAAAAGCAUGGAGAGCUUUGAUUUUAGCUUGCAAACACACAUAACACAGGACAAGGGAAGUUAAGAAAUAAUCAAUUAAUUAAAAAUUAAUCAAUUAAUUAAUUUCUUUUUUUAUUUCCAAAACUCUGAAUAAGAAACAAUGGUAAUUAGUAUGAGAUUAAAGGAAACAAAUGAACCCUCAUUCGAGUCAAACCCAAACAUCUACCUCCCUCCUUGUCCAUGUAGCAAGAUGGAGCCUCACUUAUUCCCUCCAUGGCUUGGAACGUGGGUUGGUAUUUACACUGAUCUCUAAACAAAUAUUUCAGGUAGUAAAUCAGCUUCUGUUUUUACCCUAAAUAUUUGAAGGUGAGGAGAGGAAUUUAAGGAUGUAGUUUACCAUUUCAAGAUUUCAAGACCCCCUGCUUCUUUUUAAAGAUCUGUUUAUCUAAACUUACAGAAAUACAUCAUUUAAUCAGAAAAACUACUACAAAAAAACUUAAUUCUUUCAAGUACAAAAUUCUCUUUUUCACUUUAUUCAAUAAACUCCACUGUCAUCCAGAAUUAUGAUUUCUCUGUUGGCAAAAUAUUAUUGAAGCAGCAGCCCUCUUGCCACUUCUUUUCUGCUCCUAUUUAAUUAAUCAAUUCUUGCUUGUACUGCCGUAGCUGCAUGUGGGGAUCUAAGGUGAAAGUAAAUAUGUCAAAAUGGUAAAAAAAAAACCCCUACAACCAUUCAAAAAUAACCCCUACAAACUAAUCAAAAAAAACCACUCCACCCCAAACUCCCACUCCCUGCAGUUAAAAAAUAGAAAGGUUAGCAAACACUUUUGGGCUGACAAUCCAAAUUUAUCCAAGAGAUACAAUUCAUUUACCAGUGUCAGUAGAGAUGUCUGUUCCCAUGUCACCCUCCCAUUCUCCUUCCUCAGUGUGCAGCCUGCAUUCUACUUCUCCUCACCUGGUUGGCGGAGUUCCUGCCACGAGCCGUGGCUGGUGAAGGAAGCAGCUAAAAGACAGUGGCAUUGACCCACCGGUUUUAUACAGUGAUGAGUUUCCUCACAUGGCAAAACUUCUCAAGCAAUUCUCCUACUGUUUCAUUUUCACAUUCUUCCACAAAAGCAGCAUCAGAUAAACUGAUGGCCUGGAAACAAAAACUGCAUUCUUUGCGCAGAUACACUUUAGGAUAAAUAGAAAGUACUACAUGAGUAAGCCUGUAGCUGUUGAACUCAAGUUCAUUAGAUAACUUCUUCUGUUUCCUGAUAUAGCAGGAAAAAAAACAGCUUGCUUUUAUGACAGUUUUGAAGGUAAUGGCCUUCGGUUCAAGAGGAUGAAAAAGCACUGGGACAAAAUUGUAAAGCGUAAACUGCUAGCAAGAGCACUGAUAAUACAAUAUUUACUGAAAAGAAUUGUUAGAUGUCUUUCUUGUAAAUUUAUUUAAAUCAAAAUAUGCAUAUUAGUAUAAGUAUUACUAAUAAAAAUGCUAAAUAAUUUAGGCAUCCUUAUGUUAGAAUUUUAUAAUAGAAAAAUAAAUACACCUCACAAAACACUACUACUUUUUGUCUUUAAUUCAAAAUUUAAAAGACUUUUCCAAGACAAUAAAAUGGUUUUACAUUUUUGCUUUAUUUUUUUAUAUUUCCAAUUUUAUUUCAUGUAUUAUAGAGCUUGUGUUGUGUUUCUCAACAUGGCAACAAUUUUCUCGGACAAAUGCAGCAACCCUGGCUGUUUUAUUUUCUCCAGUGUAUUCAUGUAAAUCUCUAACAUCAUGUGCAUCAAUUUUGUUUGUAAGUUGAACAAAAGGUGAAGAGGUUCUUGUUUGCUACCUUGUUUUUAUGGUGGGCUUGUUUUGUUUCUUAUGAAACUACUUGCUGCAUAAUUACACGCCAUUGUAGCUUAAAAAAAUAAUAAUUCUUGAUUUAGAAGGUUGUUAAGAAGUCCAAACUUCACAAAUGAUUCCUGUCCUAUAUAUGAAGUGAACACCAACUACCUUAUACAAGCUCUGCUAUUGUGCGAUUGCAUUCAGUCUUUUCUCUCUUCUGAGUGUGGAAAUGGAGAAAGAGGGGAGCAGCACACAAGGCUGUAUGAAAGAGGAAAACUAGAUUCCCAGUAUUUUCAGCCAUCAAAGUACUUCCUUAAAUGCUUUAGGAAGUUAAUGGGAGGGUACAAGAAGCUGACCCAUGUAAGAAUGACUUCAGUGUAGUGAUUCUGUUGAUAAGGCAUGGGAUACUCUGAAAUCUCUGCUACCUUUGAUGGUUCUGUGUAAGAGAAGUUGAGUAACAAAACCAAACACAAAAACAGCAACUAGCAAUUUAUUUAAGAGUAUUAGGAACAAAUUUUUAAGCCAAAAAAUCAGAAUGAUUGGAAAACAGCAGUGACUGAGGAUUGGAAAGGCUGGUUUUAUUCUCCACUUCUGAUUAGGCUUAAUAAUCUUCUGUAGCAUGAGAAAGUGAGCCAGACCUUCUGAAGUUACAAGCACUUAUGAGAAAUGUAGAAACAUGGCAUUCUAUAUAAUCUUGCCACUGAAUAUUCUGUAAGGGAAAGUGUUUCUUAUACCGUUAAUGAAUAAUAAAAAGUUGUAUUUUUAAUUUUUUUUUCAAUAUAUUGAGGAAAAUAUGAAUCAUUAAAGAAUAAAAAUCUUUAUAUAUUCUGCAGUAUACUAUAGCUUUGAAGUAAUUCUUUUCCUUAAAAUGUGAAAUUAUUAAUGGCAUUUUUUAAAUACUUUUGGCAUACCUAAUUUUUCUGACUCAAUGUCUUUACUUAAUUUUGCAAUGACUUCAGCUUUCUCUAGG